rnacentral:rRNA from 1 species
AUUGAACGCUGGCGGCAGGCCUAACACAUGCAAGUCGAACGGUAACAGGAAGAAGCUUGCUUCUUUGCUGACGAGUGGCGGACGGGUGAGUAAUGUCUGGGAAACUGCCUGAUGGAGGGGGAUAACUACUGGAAACGGUAGCUAAUACCGCAUAACGUCGCAAGACCAAAGAGGGGGACCUUCGGGCCUCUUGCCAUCGGAUGUGCCCAGAUGGGAUUAGCUAGUAGGUGGGGUAACGGCUCACCUAGGCGACGAUCCCUAGCUGGUCUGAGAGGAUGACAAGCCACACUGGAACUGGGACACGGUCCAGACUCCUACGGGAGGCAGCAGUGGGGAAUAUUGCACAAUGGGCGCAAGCCUGAUGCAGCCAUGCCGCGUGUAUGAAGAAGGCAUUCGGGUUGUAAAGUACUUUCAGCGGGGAGGAAGGGAGUAAAGUUAAUACCUUUGCUCAUUGACGUUACCCGCAGAAGAAGCACCGGCUAACUCCGUG